rnacentral:lncRNA from 1 species
GGGGGGAGGGGGGGAGCAAGGAACUACAUUACCCAGAAUCCCUGCGGCAGAACCUGGGCCGGCCCCUGGCUUCCAAGCCAACUGGCAGUCUGAACUGAUAAGCCAAUCAGGGUAUGAGACUGAGGCUGGUGUUCUCAUCGGCUCCUCAGAGAAACUGAAGGUGAUGGUCAAGAAGGGUUAGAACAUCACCAAACAACAUAGCCCAGCUCCAAAGCUCUGUUCAGCACCCAUGAUUUGCCAGCUUGGAUCCAGUUUCAGCAACCUGGAAAUCACCUAUUCCAGAGACUGUAUCUAUAAAAUGCAGCCUGGAUCCCUGAGUCACUGCUUGGAAGAGAACUUCUUUGGAGAGCCAAUGGACCCAGAACAGACUUUUCAGGAACCAAAAAUAAACAUUUGUGUAUUAAACCACUGAAAUCUCCGAGAUAGUUUGUUACUGCAGCAUAGCCUCACUUAACCUGACUAAUACACCAUGUGCUCCAGAUCUACUAGUUGGGAUGGAGUUACUAACCCACAUUGGACUACGACAGUGUGAGGAAUAAACUGCCAUUGGGUUAAGUCA